UUGCAGUUACGCGCGGAGUGGCCAUAGA
rnacentral:piRNA from 1 species